UGUAAUAAGAAAUAAAGAACAUGCGAGGGUGUGAUUGCUAAAUAAACAACCGCUAUAUAAAGGGCAGCGCGCUCUAUCCAACCGUCUCAAUUCGAGGGUUCGAGACGACAUGACACACCAGCGGACGAGACGUAGAUCCCCACCGGUGAUCGCAUUGGUGGUGGCGGCCUCGGAGAUGAAUCGGGGGUCACCAUUCCCGCUCCGUGCAAGAUUUCUGAGAGAGCCGCGGCAGAAGACUCGCAGAAGGAGGACGAGGUGGCAGGGACAUGUUACCUUCUGCCGCCACCGCACCGGCCAAGUUGAAGGACCAUCGAUCCGAUCGGCAUCGUGACCGCGUCGUCCGUUGGUCCCGCCGUAGCAGCUUGAGCCCUGAACAGAAACAGGCCUCGGCCGGAGCACGUCCAUCAAGCACAGAGACUCCGCCCCCUGCCGCUCAGAUUCCGGUAAGCAGCUUCACAAUGAAUCCCCAUCUACCAUCCCAUGGCCAAGACAUCAUACUGAUGCUUAGUGAGUCACAUUUAUCACUCUGGCAAGGUGGUUUUGAAGACACAACACUCGGGUCUUCAAUCUUCUUCAUAAAGCCCUUUGUCUUCUUAUGGGCUGGAAUUGGUUCGUGUCUCUUGACAAUUCAAGGGCUGCUGAAGCUAAGGCUCUGAAUGAAGAUCGACUUUGGCCUCUUUUUUAAAUUGUCCAUAACAGUUGCAUCGAGAAAAAUGCCCUGUUUAGUGAAGGCAUACAAGAAAUGCUUAAAGAUUAGUCCGUAAAUCACCUUUGGCUUCAAUUGUUUUACCAAAGCAGACUGAACUUCCAUUACUUAUUUGCUGAUAUUAGCUCUACAGUUGUGCAUGGGUCGUCUUCUUCCUGCAAUUGUUUUUGGUUAGUCUAUGCCUGGAAUUGUGUGAAAAUGAUCUGUUAUAAUGUCAUCACAUUUUGUUUUUGCCAAUCGAUACGGAAAGCUAGAUGCAUUAUUGCAGUUUAUCACUAGGGUUAGGUAAUUGCCAUGAGAAAGAAAAGCAGACAUGGGAACAUAUGCUAUAGAUUAAUACCUGGAGACCUGAGUAACUGGCAUAGAUCAAGUCCCUGGAAUUUUGGCAAGUUUAUGGCUAGUUUUGUUGUAUUAUCCAUAUGCCAACAUCUUCAUUUUUUUAAUCUUACACUCUUGUUGAUCUGAAAGUUAUGGUUUAUCGUGACAGGUUCUUUUACAGUAUGUUAGUAAUGCAUUAGCUUUGUUUCAUUUUGUUACAUAAGCUUGUAACUGAGUUGCUUUGUAUAUGAAUCUCAGCAGAAUAGUUUCAAUCUUGCAAAAUGUGGAUCUGGCUUUUCUUUGUUAUGAACAUUGAAGUAUAGCAGUCACAUAAUCUUACAUUAUGCUGGUUUUUUGCAUGUGGAUUAUUACCUGAGGAAUUCCUUUCCAGCGAAAAAACUUGUGAAGAAUUGGUGUCAUCAGGACUCUAGCUAGGCAGCCACACAGCUUUGGAUUCCAACAUUGAGAAAGCUCUUGGAACUUCCCUAGAAUGAGUAGCCCUUGUUCAUGAUUCCUUUGCAAUUCAUUUAGUCUUUGUCCCGAUUGUAUGGGUAAAGUGCUUUUUUUCUCUUUUAACAGUAGAAUCUGAGAACGAUCCAUACUUGAAAUAGAAGGUCAAGCCUGAAAAGUCUGUACGGUAAGAUGUUAAAUCUUUUUCCCGAUUGUAUGGGUAAAGUGCUUUUUUUAUCUUUCUUUUUUCUCACAUGGAUUUUCGUCUCUUCAUAAAAGUGUAUCAGUAGAAUCUGAGAAGUAUCCAUCCGUAAUUGAAAGAGAUGGUGAAGCCUGAUAAAUCGGUACAGUAAGAUGUUAAGAGUCAUGUUCUGUGUGGCUUCUUAGGUUGUGCAUAUCUCUUCCCACGCUAUUUUGCAGAUUGGAGAAGGAUUGCAACCGUAUCUUCCAUACACGGUGUUGAACUUAUGUACCGUUGUUGGUGAGUCAGCUUGGCCUGGUUCAUGGGUUGACGUCGGGAGCUUGCAAUCGAUCAUCAGGAUCGAUCUAGUCCGCAAGUCGGGGUGCCGAUGCUAUCUGAGAGAGGGUGCUUCUCGAUCGGGAUGCUGAUGUCGUCUUCGGGGAGUACGUCUCUAGAUCGGGGUGGACGGACAUCCGAAGGCGGCCUCACUCCUGCACACAAGGCCCUCGUCGGGUGGUUCCCGACUUUGGCCCAUCGAUGAUGAAGUUAGCGAUCAUUCUUCCUUUCUCUCUUUUUUGCCUCCCAUUGGUCAUAUACCGGUCAGGAGUUUUUAUACUAUUGUAUAAGGGUCGGUCGUACGCGGGGUUGGCGCGGUAACCGAUCCCCAAGGGGUGAGGGUUUGUGCGGCCAUCAUUCCGGAAUGCAGGGAACAGUGUCAUAUGGCGUCGUCCCGAGCUUUCUAGGACGGGAUGUGUCGAGGAGUGCCUUGGUACGGAUCUUGUUUGGUGCGUGAAAGUACUCCUCGAGCUGACUUGGUGAGGGCGUGGUGCGCGUCGAUUGCGACGUGGCUGGAACCCAAAAUAUGCCUCAUCACAUGGUGUUCGACAAUCCAUCACGUUUUCGUUUUUUUCUCAACGCUGGUGGUGAUGCCUGCAGUUUAAAGUCACAGUAAUUUUUUAUUGUUUUCUGUGGUUUAUGAUUGCAUUAUCUUUGUAUGGUUUUCGUUGAAAUGAUCCUCCAGCUGUUUGAUUGUUUCCAACCCUGCAUCGGUCAUGGGAUAAAGAUGUAUCGUAUUGAUCUGAAGUCAGGUCGCUAGUUAUUUAAUUCAGAUGAUCAUACCCGUUUCGUAUG